CCCUUAGAUGUUCUGGGCCGCACGCGCGCUACACUGAUGCAUUCAACGAGUUUCUUCCUGUUCCGAGAGGAAUGGGUAACCUUUUGAAAGUGCAUCGUGAUAGGGAUAGACUAUUGCAAUUAUUGGUCUUCAACGAGGAAUUCCUAGUAGACGUAGUUCAUCAGACUGCAUCGAUUACGUCCCUGCCCUUUGUACACACCGCCCGUCGCUCCUACCGAUUGAAUGCUCAGGUGAGCCAUUCGGACUUUCAUCAUGCUGGUUUCCAGUUUUGAUGAAGGAAAGUCUUGCGAACCUUAUCAUUUAGAGGAAGGAGAAGUCGUAACA
rnacentral:rRNA from 1 species